rnacentral:misc_RNA from 1 species
UUUACCUGGACAGCUGGUGGGCAGUUCCUGCAGAUAGGCUCAGCCAUUUCUUUUAAUUUCUUCUUUGUUUUGAACCUGCGCUGGUUCAAUUUCAGCUUUAGAGCAUCACCGUACGGGUGCUAGAUUUCUCUUCCAUUUGCAAGCGAUGAGCACCAGGUUCACAUUUAUUUCAUAAACUUCAUAAAAAAGAUCUUUCUUCACGCGUGCGUAACACAUGCGGAGAUGAUGCACUAUGCUGCGUCAAACUAUAAACCGCCGGUUAUGGAGUUGUGACGUAGAUUAAACGUCUGUGAGCUUUCCCGCGCUAUCUUCCUUCGCCGCAAAUCUUAUUUUACCUUCCCUUUGCCUGUUGAAUGAAUUAGGCAUAGAUGUUAAGGUUAAUUUGUGUUAGUUAUAUAGCUGUUGAAAAUUCACGGUAGAGGCUGUGCAAGACUGCCUUGUUGUAAAGUUAGAAAAUAUGGCUAGGGAGGUGAUAGUCAUUGUUCCUCUUGCCGAAAUCAACAUGAAAAUAGUCUAAAUAGAUAGUUUCACGCCGGUACUUUAGUUUUCAAAUUGUAAAUGAAAAAAAAUUUGGAACGCUUCACGAGUUUGCGUGUCAUCCUUGCGCAGGGGCCAUGCUAAUCUUCUCUGUAUCGUUCCAAUUUUAAUAUAUGUGCUGCCGUUAAGCGAGCACGUCUAUAGCUAGGUUCACGAUGCCGUUUUAUUUAGUUCAUUUGCCGUGGGACUCUUACUAAAGGUAUAAAGAAAAAAAACACCUGUUUGAAAUUUCAAUUGCUUGCUGCACGCAUGCGUAUAGUCCACGCUAUUCUACAAACAAAAACCUGAAUAUAUAUCGCUUUUGUAUCUAUUUGAAGUUGUCUAUAUUUUCUGUUUUAAUUGCCACAAUUGGUACAGAUAUUGGCCGAAACAACUGCAUCAAACAGGCACAAGCAUGGUAUAAAUCUUCCAUUGUGAACUGAAAUGCCAUACUUAGGGAGCUGCUGUAACGUUUACUCCGUUUCUAUUGUAAGAAUGAAGAGUAAUACGCCGUAUGAUCAGCUUUGUGACCUCUGGACAACUUUUUUUUUUUUUACCUCGACGUUGAAUGAACGUUCAAAAUUUCCGCCACAUUAGCAAAUUCAGCGAGAGGACUGAAAACGAAUUCAGUCUCAGACCCUCGCAGUUACAUGGUGUUCAAUAUGGCGGAUGUUGUGAACAGUCGCGUGGGAAGCCGGAUUCUACCAUUUUAAAGCCGUGGCCAUAGCCGUGAUUCCGAAAGACACUGGUUAUUCAGCAGGUUGGAAUAAUGAUUCCAUCAAUGGUUUGCUUUUACAGAGAUGCCAACCAAAGGAAUCCAAAUCCAGGAGAUAUAUGAACAGGAUUCUCGAAACUUACCCGCAAGUAACACCACCCAGCCUUCGCACAUCAAUGAAUGUUCCAUUUAAGCUGCCAUGUUCGGUAACGUUUACAAGCCGUAUUUAGUCAAGAGCAAAAGGACUGGCUUCUGCAUUUACACAAGGUUGGACUUUUUUAAAUAAGAAAUUGACAUUUAUCUGUUAUAUCCAAUAAAUAGUAGUCUUUUGUUGUUAGAGAAUAAAUUAUACUACUGAUGUUUUAAGCACUUUUAAUUAAAAAGUACUGAAAACCAGUAAUUCAAAAAUGUGACUUUAAGUGUCAACGUGUAAGAAUGACGGCAUUUUUUUCUGAUUUCGCAUUUGUAAACAAACGAUCAGGUUAUUUCGUAAUCUUAAUUAAACAGAUAUAAAAUUGUGGCUCGCUAUGUUUGUUCACCUGCUCGCCACGUUGAAUAGUAAUAUGCUGCUGAUCAAACAAACUUUAUAUUAGUGAAGAGAAUCGUGGAACGAGAAACUUGGACCAAAAUUUGCCUCGGUUGAGUUAGAUGGUCUGGGACGUGAAAUUAGCGUCUUGGCGAAACUGGUUGCCAAUUGCGAGUCGGGUGACCAGCUGAGGCCCGUUUCUCGAAGGUUCCGAAACGUUUUCGCACCCGGAAAGCCAUAGCAAAAAUCCCAAACCUUAUGAUUAUGGAGCUAUUUUAUUCACAUAUUCAGUGAAGUGUCAGGCGAAAACACCUCUCGUUUUUAGACACAGAUUAAGCAAAAAUGGCUUCGCGCGCCCGAGAAGUUACCGGGCUUUCGAGAAAGGGGCCCUGGAGGAGUGAAGAUCAAUAAGACAAUAUAUAUAUAAGUCCUCAAGCAAUCCAGAAUUCCAAAGAUGUAAGCACAGCUCAGUACGCGCUACAGAGAGAGAGAGACAGAAAUUACUGAAAGGAACUAGCCCUGUGGAGAAUAGCAAAUAAGAGAAGAUGUAACGACGACAAGAUGACAAAAUAAACGGUAUUUCGCGACGUUAAGUCAAACUGUCGCCAGUAGGGAUGAAUGAGCUGAUAACAGGUAACAUAAUCUGAGAGCUCAUAGAUGUCAGUGAUGCCAAGGACGCCUUGAUCAAUCACAUUCCCUCUAACUAUUAUAGCUACUUCCACCCAACGGUCCACUAACAGACUCACCUAAAGAGAAGAACCACGACCAGGACCUCGACAAAACUCAUCGCAUAUGCAACCAUUAGAAGUUCUUAAUGCAUAUGCUUCUCACAUUCUAGGUUACCAUGACAACAAGGUGGUUUAAGAUCAGAAGUGCGUUUCUCAUCAGCCAGCAUGAACUUACAACUUAGCAUUUGAGAGAGAAAACUCAUCAGAUCAUGUCAUACUUUUGCUAUAUGUUAUCUUUUUUGUCCUGAUUAGCGAAGUAGCUGGUUAAUUCAACUGUGACUUAUUUAUUGGCCUCUCCUAUUUGCUUUCGUAUUGCACCUUGAAAUCGUUAUUUUUUUUCUCUGUUUCAUAUGGCUUAAAUCUUGACGUUGUUCACACUCUGUUGGUUUAAUUACACCAUUCAAUUCUGCAGUGUCGCUUUUCUUUUUCACUCUUAAAUCAUCUUGAAAAGGAAACUGUCGAAAUCCUUGGUAUACAAUGUCAAUAACAAAAUAUACAGCAUCGCACUUAUUAAAGGAAAAAUCAUCGCUAUGGCAAUGACUGACUUUUUAUUAGACUUCAGUGGUUCCCGUGAUAAUCUUAAACAACUAAACCAAAGUUACUUUGGUAAGAUUACUUUAAGUUAAAAAUAUACAGCAGAAUAGUAUAAAAACAUACCGAAUGAGUAUAGACUGGAGAAGGUCAAUAGAGUUAAUCAUCCAUAUAGGCCUCAUACUCAAGGUAAUUCCCGAUCUUAAGUUAUUUGGAGACAUUAGAGACAUUUAGCAACAGCGUUUUCGUGUUAACGGCAAACCGCAAAACGCAGUUUCAGGUUUUUUUUUUUUUUUAUUGCAAUGCACAAAACUAUUUACACGACUUUCGUUACAAUACUUUACUACUUUACUAUACAUAAACAGGACUUACGGUUUAACACAACUAAUUCACACUCACUCACGUACACACACUACGAACCAGUUUACAUAGCAAAGUCACACCUAUUUGAGCCUGACAUAUUCUAAGUUAUUCAACUACUUCUAGUAUUUAUAUUGCCCACUUCUUCCUAAACAUCUACACUAUUAUUUUUUGUACAGAUGUAUUUUUCAGUCUCAUACUUUAAUUUGACUUUUGAUUUAAAACCUCGUAUACUUGGAAGUUCUUUAUUCCUUC